ensembl:lncRNA
AUAACCUCUACACACUGACCCAUUCACCUGUGUGACCACGCACGGCAGAGGCAACAGGGCCACGCUCCCUUGAUCAGGCUGAGGCUCUAGAGCCAGCGGCCUCCCCCUGCCGUAGAAGGCCUUUAUAGGAAACACAUGGUCUCUCCAGUACCGCGUGGAAUCAAAACAAGCUUCGGAACCAUUCCCUACCCACCCUAGACCUUCCUCCGGGCCCGAGAAGCAGAAGCGGCUCCUGACCUAGAGGCACCGGACAUGGGAAUGGAGGUCUCUUUGACUCUCUGGACCAGACUACUGAACCACCUCACUGGAUACCAUGAGCAGCAGAAGCCACUGCUCCCAGGCCCUGGCAGUUCUCCGAGGCCUGGAUCAUGGCCCCAUCCCGGUCCUGUCCACGGGUUUCAUGAGCACAUCCACGUCUCUGCUGCGUGGUCCUGGUAGUAGGGUUAGAUUUGACGUUCCUGAGGAACAAGUGUAUCUUGCCCAGCUUCUUGGCCAACCCGGAGCCGCCUGUGGAGCUCAGCCCAGAGUUGGCCUCAUCCUCGUCGAACGUCUCGAACAUCUCGUCGAUGAAUCUGAUGCUGACCUCGUUCGGAUCCCACUGUACUUGGCAAUCUUCCUCCGAUGGACUCCUCCUGUCCUUCUCCUCAAACAUAGACAACCAAAGUAUGUCCGUUCCCUGGGUCGGGACGAUGUAGGUGCCGCUGCAGGUAGGCCAAGGGUGGUCGCAGGAGGUCAACGAGCUCUUCCCAUUAGGCGAACAGGUCUUCCGGCGCGUCCUGCAUAGUUGCAAGUAGCACUUCCUGCCAGUCGUGACCUUCAGGCGCAGCUGUUGAUUCUGGUGGUCGUGAAUCGAGAUCCUCACAAACUUCAAGGGGAUGAGCCUGGUGAGCUCUAAGGUCUUCCUAGCCUUGCAGCCUUUUCCCUUGGUGGCCUGGCCGCACCCGCCAUGCUCGUCACAGUGGGCUGCCGGUAGGGCCAGCAGCAUGACGGGAGGAUGGGGCUGGUGGUCGCGAUGCCCACUGUCAACACUCACCCGUUUGUGCACAUCGAUGAUUUCACCACGUUUAUUAAUCUGUAUGAAGUCACUCUCAAAUACAGGCGCGGGCUUGAAGAUGUCAUAUUCCCCUCCCUCCUAUAGUUGUCGCGGUAGUUUGCCCACGGGGAGGUUGAACAUGCUCCCUCCUACGGCUCGGGUGUGGGCUGUGUGGUAGGUGUGGGCUGUGUGGUAUGGCAGCAGAGACCCUGGGUUCAUGACUCUUACCACCAGAGGCAGUGCUGGCAAGGCCGGUCCCUGGAUCUUCUCUGGCACCCCAGCGCUCCUGUAUCACAGGGGUGGCUCUGUGGCAGAUGUCCCAACCCCUACCCCACGGGGCACCCUUCUUUGCCUCUGAGCCUCCCAGACACAGGAGCGAGGGUGGGAACUCAGAGGAUUACUUACAGAGGAGGUGCUGUGGGGUAUCUGGAUCCUAGACUGAAAUUGAAGCUAAACUGAAACUCCUUCCUUCUCCACUUCACCUCUGCGCGGAAGUUGUACCUUCCCGACAAGCUCUGGACGAAGUAGUCCUGGUGAGAGAACUGAAGAGCUCUCGGCCUAAGCCCCCGCUGCAGCCCUGUUUAUCCUCUGCUGCCCCUUUGUGACCUGUCACUGUCACAGACCCCCUUGUUCUCAUCCCCCAGGCCCUCAGGGCCUCCCCAAACACCCCCAUUGCCCCCACAGAGGACAGGCCCACCCUGCCAGGGACUCAGGUGGGUAUCAAAAUAAAAGUUUCUUCAAAUGGGAACAUUUUGUGU